rnacentral:rRNA from 1 species
AUGAACGCUGGCGGCGUGCCUAAUACAUGCAAGUCGAGCGAACAGACGAGGAGCUUGCUCCUCAGACGUUAGCGGCGGACGGGUGAGUAACAUGUGGAUAACCUACCUAUAAGACUGGGAUAACUUCGGGAAACCGGAGCUAAUACCGGAUAAUAUAUUGAACCGCAUGGUUCAAUAGUGAAAGACGGUUUUGCUGUCACUUAUAGAUGGAUCCGCGCCGCAUUAGCUAGUUGGUAAGGUAACGGCUUACCAAGGCAACGAUGCGUAGCCGACCUGAGAGGGUGAUCGGCCACACUGGAACUGAGACACGGUCCAGACUCCUACGGGAGGCAGCAGUAGGGAAUCUUCCGCAAUGGGCGAAAGCCUGACGGAGCAACGCCGCGUGAGUGAUGAAGGUCUUCGGAUCGUAAAACUCUGUUAUUAGGGAAGAACAAAUGUGUAAGUAACUAUGCACGUCUUGACGGUACCUAAUCAGAAAGCCACGGCUAACUACGUG